AUGGGAAGAGAGAAUGGUUCAUCAGUUCAUAAGAGAACCAGUAACGGAACUUUACCAACUACCUAUUCCAACGACAAAAACCGCCGCAACCGUUCCAAAACAUUCAACAACAUUAAAAUCACUAUCCUCUGUGGUUUUGUCACCAUCCUCGUCCUACGUGGCACCAUCGGUGUUAACUUCGGUUCUUCCGACUCCGACGCCGUCAACCAAAGCGUCAUCGAAGAAACCAACCGCAUCCUCGCCGAGAUCCGAUCCGCCGCUAACCCCAUGUUACUGUCCGAUUCUCCAACAAACCAACCUCAAUCCCACCCUUUAUCUCCAUCGUACAACCACUGCACCACCAGAUCUAAACAACAACCGACUCCCGCUUCACCGUCGAAAUGA